rnacentral:rRNA from 1 species
CCUACGGGAGGCAGCAGUGGGGAAUAUUGCGCAAUGGGCGAAAGCCUGACGCAGCGACGCCGCGUGAGGGAUGAAGGCCUUCGGAUCGUAAACCUCUGUCAGUAGGGAAGAACGGUCACUGUGCUAAUCAGCAGUGAAUUGACGGUAUCUGCAAAGGACGCACCGGCUAACUCCGUGCCAGCAGCCGCGGUAAUACGGAGGGUGCGUGCGUUAAUCGGAAUUACUGGGCGUAAAGCGCGCGUAGGCGGUAUGUCAAGUCAAGGGUGAAAUCCCCUCGCUCAACGUGGGAACUGACUUUGAAACUGGCAAACUUGAGUGCAGGAGAGGAUAGUGGAAUUCCAGGUGUAGGGGUGAAAUGCGUAGAUAUCUGGAGGAACAUCAGUGGCGAAGGCGACUAUCUGGCACGUAACUGACGCUGAGGAGCGAAAGCGUGGGUAGCAAACAGGAUUAGAUACCCGAGUAGUC